rnacentral:rRNA from 1 species
AUUGAACGCUGGCGGCAUGCCUUACACAUGCAAGUCGAACGGCAGCACGGGAGCAAUCCUGGUGGCGAGUGGCGAACGGGUGAGUAAGGCAUCGGAACGUGCCCAGUCGUGGGGGAUAACGUAGCGAAAGCUACGCUAAUACCGCAUACGAUCUGUGGAUGAAAGCGGGGGACCGUAAGGCCUCGCGCGAUUGGAGCGGCCGAUGUCAGAUUAGGUAGUUGGUGAGGUAAAGGCUCACCAAGCCGACGAUCUGUAGCUGGUCUGAGAGGACGACCAGCCACACUGGGACUGAGACACGGCCCAGACUCCUACGGGAGGCAGCAGUGGGGAAUUUUGGACAAUGGGCGCAAGCCUGAUCCAGCAAUGCCGCGUGCAGGAUGAAGGCCUUCGGGUUGUAAACUGCUUUUGUACGGAGCGAAAAGGCUUCCACUAAUACUGGGGGCUCAUGACGGUACCGUAAGAAUAAGCACCGGCUAACUACGUGCCAGCCGCCGCGGUAAGAC